rfam:Hordeum vulgare subsp. vulgare, WGS project CAJW01000000 data, contig: morex_contig_58512
GUUGUACUCCCUCCGUCUCAAAUUCUUGUCUUAAUUUUUUUCUACAUAUAAAUGUAUGUAACCACGUUUUAGUAUUUACAUUCAUUCAUUUCUAGACAAACUUGAGACAAGAAUUUUAGACGGAGGGAGUAUUUA